CGAUCCUUCCGUCCCAG
rnacentral:tRNA from 1 species